UCCUCCGUGGCGCAAUUGGCUAGCGCGUUCGACUGUUAAUUCUACUUGCAUAUUGACUAUCGAGAGGUUGAAAGUUCGAGCCUUUCCGGGGGAG